rnacentral:rRNA from 1 species
AGCUCCAAUAGCGUAUAUUAAAGUUGUUGCAGUUAAAAAGCUCGUAGUUGGAUUUCGGAGUGGGCCCGUUGGUCCGCCGCAAGGUGUGUUACUGACUGGUCUGCUCUUCUUCGCAAAGACUGCGUGUGCUCUUUGUUGAGUGUGCGUAGGAUUUACGACGUUUACUUUGAAAAAAUUAGAGUGUUCAAAGCAGGCUGUUGCUUGAAUACAUGAGCAUGGAAUAAUGGAAUAGGACUUUGGUCCCAUUUUGUUGGUUUCUAGGACCGAAGUAAUGAUUAAGAGGGACAAUUGGGGGCAUCCGUAUUUCGUUGUCAGAGGUGAAAUUCUUGGAUUUACGAAAGACGAACAACUGCGAAAGCACUUGCCGAGAGUGUUU